AGUAGUUUGAUCAUGGGUCUCGAAGGAUGAACGCUAGCGGCAGGCCUAAUACAUGCAAGACGAACGGGUAAGUUGAAGUAGCAAUACUUAGCCAAGAGUGUCGUACGGGUGCGUAACACGUAUGCAACCUACCCUAUACAGGAGGAUAGCCUAGGGAAACCUGGAUUAACCCUUCAUAGUAUUAUUGGAUGGCAUCAUUUGAUAAUUAAAACUGAGGUGGUAUAGGAUGGGCAUGCGUCUGAUUAGUUAGUUGGCGGGGUAAUGGCCCACCAAGACGAUGAUCAGUAGGGGUUCUGAGAGGAAGAUCCCCCACACUGGCACUGAGAUACGGGCCAGACUCCUACGGGAGGCAGCAGUAGGGAAUAUUGGUCAAUGGAUGCAAGUCUGAACCAGCCAUGCCGCGUGCAGGAAGAAGGCCUUCUGGGUUGUAAACUGCUUUUGCCAGGGGAUAAAAUUUCCAUGCGUGGAAAACUGAAGGUACCUGGUGAAUAAGCCACGGCUAACUACGUG
rnacentral:rRNA from 1 species